UACGAAGGGGGCGAGCGUUGUUCGGAAUUACUGGGCGUAAAGGGUGCGUAGGCGGAUUGGUAAGUCAGUGGUGAAAUCUGUGGGCUUAACCCACAAACUGCCAUUGAUACUGCUGAUCUAGAGUACAGUUGCCGUUGGCGGAAUAUGACAUGUAGUGGUGAAAUACUUAGAUAUGUCAUAGAACACCGAUUGCGAAGGCAGCUAACGAAGCUGUAACUGACGCUGAGGCUCGAAAGUGCGGGGAUCAAACAGG
rnacentral:rRNA from 1 species